GACUGUAGCCUCGCGGCCCCUAUCAGUGUCACCCUUUCCAGCUGCUGUGUUUGCUCAGGGCUUUCUGUGGGUAAGCAAAGCACAACUCCUGCUUCUCACCCCGGAUCAUGGUGCACCGUGUGAGGAGUGUCUUUAUCAGGAUUAGGCCCCUGAAAAUGACGAGCAUGUGGAGUGGAUCGGCCGAAGUCUAUGUUAGAACAGCGCUGGGACGGAUUAACACAGCACAUAAGUGUUUGGUACUGCUGCUCAUUCUGCUUACCAGUUCCGGAGGUCUACGUCACCGGCUUUCUAGGCUUCACUGAACGGGAUUCAUUAUCAUCAACCCCGGACUGUCUUGUCUGAUUACACACACCUGGUUCCCAUUUCCCCUGAUUAGUAUGCUAUAUAUGUGCCCUCUGUUCCCUCUGUCAGUUACUGUUCCCAUGUUCGUUGGUGGUGUGAGUACCUCUGUGUUGGUGCAGCUGUUAUGCUGUGUACUAUAUAUAUAUAUAUAUAUAUAUUGUGUAUUAUGGUUAUCGUGGCGUUCAACAAGGUUUGGGUACAGCCCAGUGUUUUUGUAUACGUGCUUGUUUUGGGUGUAUUUAAAACCCCUAUUGUGUAUUCCUGCACCUGUCUCCAAAAUUAUUUAUACCAGCGUGGCAUGCACAUGGCUGUCACUUAAUGCAUACACAUGUAAAAGGUUUCAAAUGUAAUGUUAUUGAACUCAAAAGACACCCUACAAUUGAACAGAGCAGUAGUCCGAUUCAUAAGCCUUCUUAUUUUUAGCAUGGUAUCGUUUUGAUAUUGUUUUGGUAUCGAGUAUCAUGAUAUCAAGUAAGGUGACAACACGUAUAAUCGCAUUACUGCUACACACAUUAGUAGUGAUUACAUUGUAUUAGACAUUAUGGCACUUAGUAAUGUGAGUGAGCUCUGUGAUAGAUGCCUGGGACAGAAAUAAAAGAUUGUGUGGCAGAAAGAGUCACCUGAGUCUCAAAAAUCAGGUGCAACCCCAAUAAAUAUUGUGUCGUAC
ensembl:lncRNA